UCUGCUUUCUGUACAUUUUCGUUUACCCAGUCUCUACACCGUUGGCUACAUGAAUAGUCUAAAACCUUGUUUGUUGUCUUUCGCUUUUUUUCCUUUUUAAUUUCAGAUGGACGCAUGUUAGUUUGAAGUCGCAACAACAGCAGAGGGAUGGGCUGCCGGGGCAUCUGCCUCAUCCAGCUCCAGCUGCAGCAGCCAGAACCGUGGAUCAGAGCAGGAGGAGCCAUCCGGAACCAGCAGCCAAGGCACACACCCCUUCCUGGGGCUCAGGGAAAAAAGGGGGGAGAUAUGUGAUAUCCAAAGUCUGGUAGAGGACAAACACUAUAUGUAAUGUGUAUGUAAAUACAUAUAUACAUACAUACACACCCUCUUUCACACACAUAUAUGCUCAUUCACAAUCACACACACACUCUCUUUAACACACAUAUAUAGCCUACUCUUUCACACACAUGCAAAUGCACGCACACACACACAGACACACACACAGACACACACAGAGUCCAUCACAGCUGUUACAAGACUAAGGAGAAGGGUAAUUUAUGCUCACACUCUUACAUUUCAUGCCAACACAGCCAAUGAUGCUUGUGUCAAUAUGCUCUCGGAUGUGCCUGCCAUCUCUGGGUCAAGGUCUGCUCAUCUGCUGAGCCUUCUGAAGGGCUGUGAGAGGAGACCAGAACUAAAAUCACCGAAGAGAUUAAACACACAGCCAUCAGCGCUAUCACUCUUUCUGACACCCACUGGACUCAAGUGGUGAAAGUAAUGUACAUUUUCACAAGACAGAUUAUACACUUUCGCCUUUGCUGCUAGUGACCUUUGCUGGGGCAAGACCAUAGGCCGUCGUAGGCCCCAAGUCAUGAACAGAAGUCAGUUAUUGAAUUAAUUGUUCGGAUUCUCUAGAACAUUCCACAGUCAGUAAAAGGGCACUUCUCAUGGGGCUGCCUAAAGAGAGGGUGAAGUCAUUGAUUUUUUGUAUCUCUUUGAUUGAAUAUCAUUAGUGAUAUUAAUCAAAGCAGACAAAAGAAUGGUUUAACUUUUGCACUUUGAGCCGUUUGCAAAAAUGCCUAUUUUUCUUUGAGGAAGACUCAAGAAGAUUAUGGAAAGAUCUGG
ensembl:lncRNA